GAGGUGUCUUAAAGUAGAAGCCUUUGCUUUUCAAUACUCUCGAAAGGAAGAUUUCCAAAGAAGCUGUUUUAUGUCGUGGCAACUAAAGAUUUGGACUUCUCUGUCAAGGAGGGUUAAUGACCACAAUGACGUCAUCACAGUCUUUGAUUGGAUGUGAUGUUAGAGGACACGUGACAGAAGGUACCACGUUUUUUUCAUGGAGCCAGAUUUUAACUUUAGUUUCUCGAAAUCAGAAGCACUAUCAGCGCAGCGCCUUCGUAUCCCAGCUGACUAGCUGUCAGCGCGAUGAUGGUUUAAAUGGUCCAGAAGUAUCCGAGAGUAUCUUAACCAGGAACAAGCCAAGCGACCCAUCAUUUCUUAUCAACUGAUGGGAACAGUUUUUUAGACACAUAUGAAAAUCUUGUUAGUGGUUGUAGGCUCAUUGACGCAUUUUAAGUUUAGUGAUGGAUGAAGGAAAUACUCGACUACUGUGUAACAUCUUCUAUUAUUUCACCAAUUGUAAAGGAGAGUGGAAAAUUUUUGUGGUAACUCAUGGCAGUCCUUCGUAAGGUGACAGGUACUCAGUCUACCUCAUCGUGAUUGACGUUGGAAGUGACCUCAUCAUGAGUCAAGCGAUAGCACUUCGCCACCAUAAUUAGUUCAACAGCCAUUUUUUACGAUAUUGAAUAAAUUUGUAAAGAGGAUUAUAAAAUUUCUCUUCAGUCUUUGUAUUGAAAGGUGAUUGAUGGAAGCAAAGUGGAGGAAUUUAAGAUUUUGUCACAAGAAAGCGCUUGUAUCAUUCUCACACCAUAAUUUUGUUCUAAAUACUUAGCAUUCAGCAUUGUCCGCUCGAUGCUAAGAUUAAG